rnacentral:rRNA from 1 species
ACAUGCAAGUCGAGCGGAAACGAGUUAUCUGAACCUUCGGGGAACGAUAACGGCGUCGAGCGGCGGACGGGUGAGUAAUGCCUAGGAAAUUGCCUUGAUGUGGGGGAUAACCAUUGGAAACGAUGGCUAAUACCGCAUAAUGCCUACGGGCCAAAGAGGGGGACCUUCGGGCCUCUCGCGUCAAGAUAUGCCUAGGUGGGAUUAGCUAGUUGGUGAGGUAAUGGCUCACCAAGGCGACGAUCCCUAGCUGGUCUGAGAGGAUGAUCAGCCACACUGGAACUGAGACACGGUCCAGACUCCUACGGGAGGCAGCAGUGGGGAAUAUUGCACAAUGGGCGAAAGCCUGAUGCAGCCAUGCCGCGUGUAUGAAGAAGGCCUUCGGGUUGUAAAGUACUUUUCAGUUGUGAGGAAGGGGGUGUCGUUAAUAGCGGCAUCUCUUGACGUUAGCAACAGAAGAAGCACCGGCUAACUCCGUGCCAGCAGCCGCGGUAAUACGGAGGGUGCGAGCGUUAAUCGGAAUUACUGGGCGUAAAGCGCAUGCAGGHGGGUCAUUAAGUCAGAUGUGAAAGCCCGGGGCUCAACCUCGGAACUGCAUUUGAAACUGGUGAACUAGA